CACAUAUUUCAAGAGCCAGUUUGGUCGUUGAUGGUCAGUAUUUGAAGGGAAACCACCACUCAUAACCCUCCAAAUGCCUUCAUUGUCAUUCAAACCCCUCCUUCUAAUGACGAAGAGAUUCAAACCCACUCCACCCUCCACUCCCUCCACAAAGCCAUCGCCACCGCCGCCGUCUCCCCCUACCCCUCAACUCUCCCAUUCAAAACCAACCACUGUCUCCAUCCACCACUCAUCCAAAAACCCAAACAAAACCCUAACCCUCCUCAAAUCCCCCCAAUCCCCAUCAUCCUCCAACUGGGUCUCUCUAAAUCUCACCAGAUCAGACCUCUCUUUGCCUCUCACUUUCCCCACCGGCCAAACCUUCCGCUGGAAACAAACCAACCCCCUUGAGUUCACCGGCGUCGUUGGCUCUCAUCUCAUCUCUCUCAACCAUCUUCCAAACGGCGAAGUUUCAUAUUGCCUUCACUUUUCUUCUACAUCCACCUCCUCCUCCGCCGCCGCCAGAUUGGCAUUACUUGAUUUCCUUAACGCCGGCAUCUCCCUGAGUUCCAUUUGGGAGGUAUUCUCGGCGGCUGAUCCGGGAUUCGAUGCGUUGGCUCGCCAUUUGGAGGGGGCUCGAGUUCUCAGGCAAGACCCACUUGAAUGUUUGAUUCAGUUUUUGUGUUCUUCCAAUAAUAAUAUUGGGAGAAUCACUAAAAUGGUGGAUUACAUCUCAUCACUCGGGAAUUAUUUGGGUAAUGUUGGAGGUUUUGAUUUCCAUGAAUUCCCUUCUUUGGAGAGGCUGUCCUUGGUCUCUGAGGCUGAGCUUAGAGAGGCAGGCUUUGGUUACAGGGCUAAAUACAUAAUUGGCACUGUGAAUGCACUGAAAGCAAAACCUGGUGGAGGUGCAGAAUGGCUUCUGUCCCUUCGUGAUUCAGAUCUUGAAGAGGUGAUUGGAGCCCUUUCUACUUUACCGGGCGUGGGUCCAAAGGUAGCAGCUUGUGUCGCUCUCUUCUCUCUUGACCAGCACCACGCCAUUCCUGUUGACACACAUGUCUGGCAGAUUGCUACAAGGUACCUUGUUCCUGAGCUUGCUGGUGCACGCCUAACACCAAAGCUUUGCAAUCGUGUGGCUGAGGCAUUUGUCAGCAAGUAUGGAAAAUACGCUGGAUGGGCUCAAACUCUGCUUUUCGUCGCUGAGUUGCCUCAACAGAAGGCCCUUUUACCAGCAACUCUUGAGAAUACCAAAAGGAAAAGAUCUACAAAGCAGCAGAAAGAUAUGGCACAUGCUGGUAACAUAGAUCAAUGUGAAUAGCUAUAUUUAGUUGGUCUCAGGAUUUCCAGGUUGACGUAAAUCCUGUUUCUCUUGUAGAGCAAGAUCUAUAGUUGUUACAGAUCAAAGAUGAAGAUGCGAGAGGACUCCAAAAAGAAUGAAAUAAGCUGUGGUAAUGGAGAAAAGAUUAUUGCUAAAGCUAUUUAUAUAUUGAAAGGUACUGUGAAUUAUCAUGCCAUGUACUUCAUGCUAGGCGUAUUCAAUCAUUUACGUGCAUUGUGCAUCGACCAACAAUGUUUUCGUGACGUGUGGACAUGGAUCGCCUUGAAAGUUCAGACUUGAGAUUGGAAUUGAGCAUUUGACCCUCCCCAGACACGCCUGAAUCAUCACAAUGCAAUUUUCAUGAGAAAACUCACAUGUUCUACAAUGGGUCUGGAGUUUGGCGAGUGACACAUUCCAAUAGCAUAGCUUUGACAAUCACCAGAUGGGGUACCAAAGCUUGCAAAUAAGAUGUUGGAGAUUUUCUUUUUACUAGGGCAGCUUAAUUGGACCUUAGGCCUUCUGGUUCUGUUCUUCGCACUUCUUACCUUUUGUUUCUUUGCACCCAUCCACGAAGCUACUAAAGGAUAAUGUGAUUCAGACACUUGCCCACAUGUUUUGGUAAUCAAAACGGAAUCCAAAGAUAUCUCAACUGGGUUUCCUGUUUCUUCUUCGAGAAUAACCAACUGGUUGUCAGUUGGCUUGAGGAAGGAACGCGGUACAUUAUACCUGGAUUGAACGAGAGACAGAAUUGUAUCAAAAAUGAGGAAACUAGGGGUAGGAAAUUUGAGACAUAAGGUAUGAUAUAAACACUAAAUAUCAAGGUGAGUAAACUAUUUACCAUUUCUGUGAAGGCUCCCCUUUUGGGGUAAGGAAGGAGACCCAGUACCGGCCAAUGCCCCGGCCGUUAACCCAAGCUGCACCCUUCCCCAUGGAACCAAGGUUCAGUGCAAUUGGAUCAUCACCAGGAGGUGCAUCAAACCGAGUCUGCCCGAUUAGCAAUGAAUGACAAUAACAAAGGUCAGUUCGUGAACAUUUGAAUUCAAGAUAGUUGCUAUUGAUUAUUGGUAGUACCUUGUACCAUGUGAGCGGCUGAGAAGAGUUUCCUAACCUGCUCCACUGAACAUUGCUUGACCCAGUGUCUAAAAAUAUUUGCGAUUGCUCUCCUGAUAGGCCAACCUUUGCAAAAUUGUUUGCAAAAAUAUUAACAAGAGGUUAGUUUUAAGUGUUUGCUUGCGGCUGUGUACUUUUUUGCAUAUUACAUCAGUUUCAAGUGUAUAUGAACAAUUAAUGAACCUUGUAUCCCCAUGGUUGUUCUGAGAAAUCCACGCCUUGAAUUCCCACUC